GUCCCAACCUCUAGAGUAGAACUCAAUACAAGCAAGAGGGGUGAAGGACAUCUGUGAUACCGGCCAACAAUCCUAUGAGAGAUUCUCAGCCUGAGGCCAAGCACAGCAGCUUAGAGAGGAAGCUACAGGAACAAAGAUCUGGCUUCUAAGCUCCAAGAUCUGGCUUCCAAGCAUCAAGAGUGAACCAACAACACCUGGAGACAGAGCAUUUGCUGAGCAAUAACCUUCAGAAAAGUCAGCUGUUCACCAGUGCAUGGUUUUAGACCUUCAUCUGAUGAGUGACAAGGAAUUCUGCCUCUUACUCUGAAAGAUGGAAAUGGCAUCUUUUGUUCACUUGACCCCAAGGCAGAGGAUGUUGAAGACUGUAUUUAUUUAACCCCAAGACAUGGGAACUUAUAGCACAUCAUCACUUCCCAAAGAGAUUUUCUUUUUAUCCUCCUUCUCAGCCUUGGGUGGCUUCUGUUUGCUUUACAGACUUCUCAGAGUUUGCUACCAGCCUUGGACAUCUGCUGCAUGCAAAUACUCAUGCUGCUUGAUGGCAAAAUCCCUCCAGUUUUGAUCAAAAAGCCUUACCAUUAGAUUUGCUGUUCAUCAUCUGAAUUGAAACGUGCAUUAUUUUAGAGCAUGAAAAGACUUAUGAAGUCUGUCACAUUGGCAGGAUGAGAAUUUCGACAAAGGAAGGCUGAGGAAGCAGCUGCGAUCAGAAGAUGCCCAACACAACAGAGCACGUGGACUUUGCAAAACUCUCCAUCCCACUCAGCACUCUUUGUGUGCUGUGUUUCAUCACAAAAAGCAACUCCUAAGAGAAGUCUAUCCAGGAAUACAUAAAUUAUAGAGGGCAAGCACAAGUAUCUCAAAGGCAGACUGACAACAAGACCCAUUGUGAGUGACGUUAGACUAAGGACCUAUCCAGAACACUUGUAGAAAAUUCAAAACUCUGUCACAGCUGUCAAUUCUCAAGAAAACAAGGAACUUCAGACUUAGCUGCUGACUGGACGUGCACUUGCUUCUUGCUAUGCAACUGAAAUCCCUGCUGUUCGGCAUCCUUACUGUCUACAUUCUCCUUGCAGCGGCUCUCUCUGGGAUCAGUGGCAGCUCAGAACUCAGUAACCUUUUCCAGUGACUUAUUCCACAUACUGGCAGAUGAACUGACCUGCAUGAAUCAGCUUCCCUGUAAACAGCCUCUGGUCCUGACUUACACAUUUACAUACUAUGAGCAAAGGAAAGGGGAGAGAUUAAUGCACAAAGAAAUUAGUUUGGUAUACAGGAUGCCUGGGGGUUCCAAGAGGAUGUACAGCCCUUCACCUCCAUAUCAGCAAGAAUGUCAAAUCACGUCUAUCUGAAGACUGUACACUAGUCCUUAUGAAAUAAACAGGAAAUCUGAAGCUUAGUACCCAGCUGGUUGGUUUCCACAUGGGCGAGGGCCUGGUAAUAGCACUAACACCACCGCAUCUGUAACUGGCACAAAGGCCAAGGACUCUACAACUGUGCUUCUUCCAAGACAUGGAGCACUGGCACUAUCCUAAGAAGAAAUGCAGUAAAGAGAGCAUCUUCUUUGGCUAAACUUCGCAUGCUAUCUCCUACAACAGACGGCUGUACAUAUGUUCUCACUUUUGUACACCGCACAGAGAGGACUACUGGUGGUGUGUGCUGCACUGCAGAGCUGCAGACAUCCCACAGAGACUAAAGGUCCCUGCUUGGGGCACCUGCACAGAAGCCCUCGGUGGAGACUUUGCCAGCUGUCCUCAUGCAUGGGACAAUCUGGGCUGAACAAGAGACAGACCACAUAGGAGAGGCAUAAAAGAUUCUGAAACGCCUCCUAAAACUGCACAGGAAAGAGUACAUCCAAGCAGCAAUUCACCUGCUGCUCCUUCGUUUUCCUGGUGCAGAUGGAACAGCGUGGGAAGGACUGCUGCUCCCACAGCAGAUAGUGAGACAUUGAAGUCAUUUCCACUCACGCCUGUGCAUCCAAGCAUGCGCUGGAGCUGUGGCACAACUCUUCUGGAGAAAACACACACAACAGGCAGUCAGCUGCAAGCUCCAAGUGCUGGCAGGAGCCGACCUUCGAGAGGAGCAGACUGUCUGGGACCUGGAUGCAGCCCAUCUUCACUACAAAGGACUGUUAUGAGUUAUUGUUUAACCUGGAGUUAAAGAAGUGCAUCCAUCUCCUUGUCAUUUUCAACUUGCAGGAAAGUCCCUCUGAUACUUGGUCCUAACUUGCAUCAGUGAUGCAAAGUGUCAUAAAUAUUUCAACAAGUUUGGCUACCUGCAGCAUUCUCAGCAGCCUAGAAAGCUUCGAACAGUCCUGAAGUUUUUUUCAAAGUAAUACUUAAUUAUUUGUAUGCAACACAAAUGAAUGCAAUAUUAGUGAUUAGGAAGAAUUUAAACAUUUAGGAACACAAUGUGAAUGCAUUAUUAACGUGUGUAAAACAUUUUGUCCUUUCCUAUCUUGUUCAGAAGUAUGCUGAAUUGCUACCCUGAGGGGAAUGUGACGGCAUUAUUCAUCCCUAAUUUAAAAUACUAGACAAAAAUAUCUAAAAUUAAAAUACUGUUUGUGAUAUUAAUACAUGGCAUAAAACUGAAAAUGAAUAAAAGCAAAUCCUACAAGUCAGCAUCUGGCUCACGAGCAUGACCGUCAACCAGAGGCAAAAUAAAUCACAACUAUUACCCAACAACAGAUGGCUCUGGCUUGGGCCAAGAUUUGCACUUAGAUGGGAUGACAAUUUAAAUAGACGACGCAGACCUGAAAGUGCUGGCAUAAUGACUGGAAAAAAUAUCGGCCUGGAAAGACAAUAUUUCAAAUGAGUCCCAAGCUUCAGCACUCUCAUUUUGCUUUUUUUUGAUCAUCACUACAGUUUGGUGUUAUUGAAGUCAGCUGAGAUGGACAGAUAGAUAAAUAUAGACAUGGAUACUAAAAAUCCAGCCACAAAUGUAUUACCUUUUUUAUUAAGUUGGGAUAUAGAAACACAUUUGUUCUUGGGGAUAAAGUCUGAAGUUAUUUGUUAAACAUCUGAUAACGAUCACAUUUAUCAAUCCUAGCCACCACAAAACAUUCAGAGCACUCGAUAAUUAGGAUGAAUCAACUGCAGUUAAUCAUAAAAGUUAAAUUAAAGCUUUUAGAAAUUAGGUACUGCUAUAGAAUGAACGUUCUCAUUGAACGUUUGUUCUUCCCUAGCUCCUUCAGUCUCUGCUGAUCUGCUCCUGGACACAGCAGCACAUGGAACCACAACAGAGAUUUUAAGGCUUCUUCCAUAAGAUCAAUGUCAAGACUCUCACAGGGAUUAAGGGUUGGAGACUCACGUAUCUGUAACCCCCACAGUCAGAUGGCAAUGGAAACCCUAUUCCACUGUGCUAGAAUAUUCCAAGGCUGGAUGUUCCAACAGUUUCAGCCUGAGUCAUAUGACAUGUGGCUUGUUUUUUAAAGCACCUACCACUAGAUGCAUGACAACCUGCAG